UUUUAGAAAAUGUGUAAACAUACCUCUCCGACAAAAAUGAGAGGAUCUGUGAUCUCAUACCUUCAUCAGAUUCAAAAAAGAUCAUAAAGUUCUUGUAUUUGUCUAUCAUUCGUCUUUAUUGAAAGAAAGAAGAUCCAUUUCACUGAAGAUCGGGUGAAUCUUUUUCUUUAUUUAUAUUUUUAUUAAUUAAUGCAUCUUUCUUUAUGCUGUUUAAUCUGGUCAUAAUCGCCGUUAACAUAUUCGACUAUAUUUUUUAAUUCGUAUUAUUCAUCUCGGAUCUAGAGUUAAUUAUCAUUAACUAGGAUUUACCCCUUCAUCUUUGAUUGAUUUACUUAAAAAAGCUUAAAAUCUUUUGAGUCAGAUAAAUAAACCUAGAUCUAUAGUGCUAGAUCCGUCCCUACGUGAGAGGUUACAUCAGAGACAGAUCUAGGAUUCUGAGGAAAUGGGUGCACCAUUCUGAAAUGGGAAAAUCGAGUAAACUCCAAGCGUAUGAGAACUGGGAAGUUGGGAAUUGAUUUAUUUAGUAAUGUAAAAAGUAAAAAGAAAAGUUAUGUUAGUAGAAAUAGAAAGAAAAGAAAUAUUUAAGAAAAAAAUUAAACAUAAAUUUUGAUAGUGGAUUCAAUCCCUUGAUCUUGGUUGCUGGAAAUAAGGGGUCAAAGUCAGUGAACCACUAUGCCUUUUUUGACCACGUGUUUCAUCAUAUACAUAUAUAUNNNNNNNNNNNNNNNCGAGGUAUCUUUAUCUCUACUCCAACCUCUAAACCCUCUUACGGCUCUCGCAUAUACUUCGGGAGUGAUGUUCUUCAAAAAACUAUCUAAAUAUGCACUCUCUCUCAAGCAGAUACAUAAUAAAUAUGAACGACUAAUUGACGAUCCUUUCAAUUAACCAAAAUCAAAAUGUAGUUGAACAAAUAGAGAUUAACAACUAACUCGAAACUAUAUUAAUUUAAUAACCAAUUCAUCCCCAAUGGGCUUCACCCAAAACCUUAGAUUAGAAAAGUUAGAUACUCAUAAAAAUAACAAAAAUCACAACAUAAUUCAUAUUCAAAGGUAAAAUAACAAAGAAAGAAGAUUAAGGAUUGAUGAUCCUCCUUGCCUCUUUCCCUUCCUUUUAAUGUUUCUCUUCUUGUUUUGGUCGGCCUCCUUCAUUUAAUAUAGGUUUUAGGGCUUAAAAUCCCAUAUUUUGCACUUUAGUUCCUUAAAUUUACGCGUCCUGCCGCGGUUCUACCACAGUUGCGUCAGGACCGCGGCCAGAGUGGCCUUCAGAAUCUGCAGCAGUGUUCUGCCGCGGUCUUACCAUAAUUAAAAUUUCAAUUGCAUUUUUCACCUUGUUUUGUUUGAAAUUUGGGAAAACGUAUAAGAUAAAAUUUGUAGUCCUUUGGGUUAGUUUUCCAACUAUAUGUUUUGGAGCCCAAAUGGAGUUAUGAGAACGUCAUGUUCAUUUUACUAGAUAGUGAGUAAUAUGCCUACUCGAGUCUUUGUUUUGUUGAUUUAUCAUCCAUUGAUCCCCGAAUACGAUUCCGUCUUAAUUCCUUGGGCUUUUACUCAGACGUCAAAGAUCCAAAUCACUUGAGUUCAUUCCAUAAUAUAUAUAUAUAUAUAUAUAUAUAUACGAAUUCACGUGAAUCACAUUUUAUGCCGUGAGUCCCCCCUUGGGCUACAUGGCCGGGCAGAAUGAAGGCCUUGUGAACAAGUUCGAUUCCAUAAUAUAUAUUAUUAUUAUUUAUUUUUUUUGUCAACCGACGAAAUUUAUUUAUAUUAAAAACUUAAAGUAUUACAAGGAGCAAGUAGAGAACCAUCCCCUGGGUUACAAAAAGGGCAGGUGGGGGUAUGUAAUUGUUGUUGGUGACAUAAUUUAACAGAAAUACAUUCAUUAGAUGGAUCAUUUAUUGCUGCAAGAGAUGUUUUUCUGCAGUUGUUGGUGCUUGUUGAUAUUCAUGCAGUGUUGUUGCCAAAAAGGUUGGCGUCUCCUGCAAUAGUUGCAAGUCUGUUUCUCUACUUAAAGAUGCUCUAUAUUUGGCUAAUUUAUUUGCUACACUAUUUUGCUCUCUGUAAAUAUGUAUGAUGUGUGGACUAUCCAGCUUGUGUAGCAAAUAUUUGCACUCAGAAAGUAAAGAUAAGUGUCGCAUAUUAUUAUUUUUUAGCAUAGAAAUUAUCUCACUGAAGUCGAUAUUGAUUUCCAGGGGUAAGGGUCUACGUUGCGAUGCUAGAUAUAAUCCUUGGAGCAAGG
rnacentral:lncRNA from 1 species